CUGGCGGCAGGCUUAACACAUCCAAGUCGAGCGCGCCUUCGGGUGAGCGGCGGACGGGUUAGUAACGCGUGGGAACGUGCCCUUCUCUACGGAAUAGCCUCUGGAAACGGAGAGUAAUACCGUAUACGCCCUUUGGGGGAAAGAUUUAUCGGAGAAGGAUCGGCCCGCGUUAGAUUAGGUAGUUGGUGGGGUAACGGCCUACCAAGCCUACGAUCUAUAGCUGGUUUUAGAGGAUGAUCAGCAACACUGGGACUGAGACACGGCCCAGACUCCUACGGGAGGCAGCAGUGGGGAAUCUUAGACAAUGGGGGCAACCCUGAUCUAGCCAUGCCGCGUGAGUGAUGAAGGCCUUAGGGUCGUAAAGCUCUUUCGCCUGUGAUGAUAAUGACAGUAGCAGGUAAAGAAACCCCGGCUAACUCCGUGCCAGCAGCCGCGGUAAUACAGAGGGGGUUAGCGUUGUUCGGAAUUACUGGGCGUAAAGCGCACGUAGGCGGACUGGAAAGUUGGGGGUGAAAUCCCGGGGCUCAACCUCGGAACUGCCUCCAAAACUAUCAGUCUAGAGUUCGAGAGAGGUGAGUGGAAUUCCAAGUGUAGAGGUGAAAUUCGUAGAUAUUUGGAGGAACACCAGUGGCGAAGGCGGCUCACUGGCUCGAUACUGACGCUGAGGUGCGAAAGUGUGGGGAGCAAACAGGAUUAGAUACCCUGGUAGUCCACACCGUAAACGAUGAAUGCCAGUCGUCGGCAAGUAUACUUGUCGGUGACACACCUAACGGAUUAAGCAUUCCGCCUGGGGAGUACGGUCGCAAGAUUAAAACUCAAAGGAAUUGACGGGGGCCCGCACAAGCGGUGGAGCAUGUGGUUUAAUUCGAAG
rnacentral:rRNA from 1 species